rnacentral:rRNA from 1 species
AUUGAACGCUGGCGGCAGGCCUAACACAUGCAAGUCGAGCGAGAGGCGGACGGGUGAGUAAUGUAUGGGAAACUGCCUGAUGGAGGGGGAUAACUAAUGGAAACGGUAGCUAAUAACGCAUCACCUCAGAUGUGCCCAGAUGGGAUUAGAGAGUAGGUGGGGUAACGUCCAACCUAGGCGACGAGCCCUCGCUGGUCUGAGAGGAUGAACAGACACACUGGACUUGAGACACGGUCCAGAAUCCUACGGGAUGGAGCAGGGGGUAAUAGUGAACAAUGGGCGCAAGCCUGAUGCAGCCAUGAGGCGUGUGUGAAGAAGGCCUUCGGGUUGUAAAGCACUUUCAGCGGGGAGGCGUUACCCGCAGAAGAAGCACCGGCUAACUCCGUGCCAGCAGCCGCGGUAGUAC